rnacentral:rRNA from 1 species
UCAGAUUGUGGGCUGAAACUCGCCCACAUGAAGACGGAGUUGCUAGUAAUCGCGAAUCAGCAUGUCGCGGUGAAUGCGUUCCCGGGCCUUGUACACACCGCCCGUCACACCAUGGGAGUCGGGAAUGCCCGAAGUCAGUGGCCCAACCGGAAGGAGGGAGCUGCCGAAGGCAGGCCCGGUGACUGGGGUGAAGUCGUAACAAGGUAGC